rnacentral:rRNA from 1 species
CCUACGGGAGGCAGCAGUGGGGAAUAUUGCACAAUGGGCGCAAGCCUGAUGCAGCAACGCCGCGUGAGGGACGACGGCCUUCGGGUUGUAAACCUCUUUUAGUAGGGAAGAAGCGAAAGUGACGGUACCUGCAGAAAAAGCACCGGCUAACUACGUGCCAGCAGCCGCGGUAAUACGUAGGGUGCAAGCGUUAUCCGGAAUUAUUGGGCGUAAAGAGCUCGUAGGCGGUUUGUCACGUCUGCUGUGAAAACUGGAGGCUCAACCUCCAGCCUGCAGUGGGUACGGGCAGACUAGAGUGCGGUAGGGGAGAUUGGAAUUCCUGGUGUAGCGGUGGAAUGCGCAGAUAUCAGGAGGAACACCGAUGGCGAAGGCAGAUCUCUGGGCCGUAACUGACGCUGAGGAGCGAAAGCAUGGGGAGCGAACAGGAUUAGAUACCCUGGUAGUCCAUGCCGUAAACGUUGGGAACUAGAUGUAGGGACCAUUCCACGGUUUCUGUGUCGCAGCUAACGCAUUAAGUUCCCGCCUGGGGAUACGGCCGCAAGGCUAAAACUCAAAUGAAUUGACGG